AAUUAAAAUGGGCUGAAUGGUAUACUACAAAGUAUGUGUAUACUUUGUAGUAUACCAUUUAGCUCAUUUUAAUU